rnacentral:rRNA from 1 species
GAUGAACGCUGGCGGCGUGCUUAACACAUGCAAGUCGAACGAAGCACUUUAUUUUAUUUCCUUCGGGACUGAUUAUUUUGUGACUGAGUGGCGGACGGGUGAGUAACGCGUGGGUAACCUGCCUUGUACAGGGGGAUAACAGUUGGAAACGGCUGCUAAUACCGCAUAAGCGCACGGCAUCGCAUGAUGCAGUGUGAAAAACUCCGGUGGUAUAAGAUGGACCCGCGUUGGAUUAGCUAGUGGGUGAGGUACGGCCCACCAAGGCGACGAUCCAUAGCCGACCUGAGAGGGUGACCGGCCACAUUGGGACUGAGACACGGCCCAAACUCCUACGGGAGGCAGCAGUGGGGAAUAUUGCACAAUGGGCGAAAGCCUGAUGCAGCGACGCCGCGUGAGCGAAGAAGUAUUUCGGUAUGUAAAGCUCUAUCAGCAGGGAAGAUAAUGACGGUACCGGACUAAGAAGCACCGGCUAAAUACGUG